CAGCCGCCCGGUAAUACAGAGGGUGCGAGCGUUAAUCGGAUUUACUGGGCGUAAAGCGUGCGUAGGCGGCUUCUUAAGUCGGAUGUGAAAUCCCUGAGCUUAACUUAGGAAUUGCAUUCGAUACUGGGAAGCUAGAGUAUGGGAGAGGAUGGUAGAAUUCCAGGUGUAGCGUUGAAAUGCGUAGAGAUCUGGAGGAAUACCGAUGGCGAAGGCAGCCAUCUGGCCUAAUACUGACGCUGAGGUACGAAAGCAUGGGGAGCAAACAGGAUUAGAUACCCCCGUAGUCCCUGUCUCUUAUACA
rnacentral:rRNA from 1 species